ACCUGGUUGAUCCUGCCAGUAGUCAUAUGCUUGUCUCAAAGAUUAAGCCAUGCAAAUGCCAGUAUAAGCAACUUUUACUGCGAAACUGUGAAUGGCUCAUUAAAUCGGUUAUAGUUUAUUUGAUGGUACAAUUGCUACUUGGAUAACCGUGGUAAUUCUAGAGCUAAUACAUGCGAAAAGUCCCGACUUGCGAAGGGAUGUAUUUAUUAGAUACUGUGCCAACCGGCCUCGGCCGACUUUUGGUGAUUCAUAAUAACUUUUCGAAUCGCAUGCCUUUGCGGCGGCGAUGAUUCAUUCAAAUUUCCGCCCUAUCAACUUUCGAUGGUAAGGUAGUGGCUUACCAUGGUCGCAACGGGUAACGGAGAAUUAGGGUUCGAUUCCGGAGAGGGAGCCUGAGAAACGGCUACCACAUCCAAGGAAGGCAGCAGGCGCGCAAAUUACCCAAUCCCGACACGGGGAGGUAGUGACAAAAAAUAACAAUACCGGGGCCAUCGGCUCUGGUAAUUGGAAUGAGAACAAUUUAAAACCUUUAACGAGGACCUAUUGGAGGGCAAGUCUGGUGCCAGCAGCCGCGGUAAUUCCAGCUCCAACAGCGUAUAUUAAAGUUG
rnacentral:rRNA from 14 species